rnacentral:rRNA from 1 species
UAAAACGUAGGAGGCAAGCGUUAUCCGGAUUCACUGGGCGUAAAGCGCGUGCAGGCGGUUCGGUAAGUUGGGCGUGAAAUCUCCUGGCUUAACUAGGAGAGGUCGUUCAAUACUACCGGACUUGAGAAUGAUAGAGGAAGAUGGAAUUCCCGGUGUAGUGGUGAAAUGCGUAGAUAUCGGGAGGAACACCAGUGGCGAAAGCGAUCUUCUGGGUCAUUUCUGACGCUCAGACGCGAAAGCUAGGGUAGUAAACGGGAUUAGAGACCCCGGUAAUCCUAGCCGUAAACGAUGUAAACUUGGCGUCGGUGGCUUAAACUCCAUCGGUGCCGCAGCUAACGCGAUAAGUUUACCGCCUGGGGACUACGAUCGCAAGAUUAAAACUCAAAGGAAUUGACGG